rnacentral:lncRNA from 1 species
CAAGAAUUUAUUACCUAAGACUAAAUGAACUGAUAAGGAAUGAUGCCUGAAUUGGCAUCACCAAGAAUUAACACCCGACUGCCCAAAUCCCUGUCAGGACUGUGGGUUGCCUUGCAGCUGGCCUUUUCUCCCAGAAUCUGAAGGAGUUCUACAAGCUGAGGCUUAGCGAUUUGGCAUAAACCUUGAAAGACUCAGCCCUUCAGGAUACCAUGAAUUCUCCCUGGACAAGCUGCUGCCUGGACCACUAAGGAAGCCCAGCAAAAUGCUCAGGCCAUGUAUGCCCUUUCGUGACAAGUGCCAAGAUUGUGGACAAUAUCACAAGACAUUGACAGCUUUAAGAAACUCAAAAACUGG